CCUACGGGAGGCUGCAGUGAGGAAUAUUGGUCAAUGGGCGGAAGCCUGAACCAGCCAAGUCGCGUGAGGGAAUAAGGCCCUACGGGUCGUAAACCUCUUUUGCCGGGGAGCAAGGGCGGGGACGUGUCCCGGCCCGGAGAGUACCCGGAGAAAAAGCAUCGGCUAACUCCGUGCCAGCAGCCGCGGUAAUACGGGGGAUGCGGGGGUUAUCCGGAUUUCUGGGGGUAAAAGGGGUCGUGGGGGGGCUUUUGCGUCAGCGGUAAGACUUCGGGGCUCAACCCCGCCCGGCCGGUGACACUGGGGGCCUUGAGUGGGGGAGAAGAAGGCGGAAUGCGUGGUGUAGCGGUGAAAUGCAUAGAUAUCACGCAGAACCCCGAUGGCGAAGGCAGCCUUCCGGCGCCCUACUGACGCUGAGGCACGAAAGUGCGGGGAUCGAACAGGAUUAGAUACCCGGGUAGUC
rnacentral:rRNA from 1 species